rnacentral:rRNA from 1 species
AAUAGAUACCCGGGUAGUCCACGCCGUAAACGAUGGAUACUAGCUGUUUGAGCGCAAGUUUGAGUGGCUAAGCGAAAGUGAUAAGUAUCCCACCUGGGGAGUACGGGCGCAAGCCUGAAACUCAAAGGAAUUGACGGGGGCCCGCACAAGCGGUGGAGCAUGUGGUUUAAUUCGAUGAUACGCGAGGAACCUUACCAGGGCUUAAAUGUAGAUUGACGUAUUUGGAAACAGAUAUUUCUUCGGACAAUUUACAAGGUGCUGCAUGGUUGUCGUCAGCUCGUGCCGUGAGGUGUCAGGUUAAGUCCUAUAACGAGCGCAACCCCUGUUGUUAGUUGCCAGCGAGUAAUGUCGGGAACUCUAGCAAGACUGCCAGUGUAGACUGUGAGGAAGGUGGGGGUGACGUCAAAUCAUCACGGCCCUUACGUCCUGGGCCACACACGUGCUACAAUGGCCGGUACAGAGAGCAGCCACUUAGCGAUAAGGAGCGAAUCUAUAAAGCCGGUCACAGUUCGGAUCGGAGUCUGCAAC